rnacentral:lncRNA from 1 species
UCGCCCCGCCCCGCGGUGCGUCCGCCAAGAGCGGAGCGGGGCGCGGUGUACGCCGGUUGCGGUUUGUCGGGCCUCGCUGCCUCUGGUGCAGCGGCGCCCGGUUACCCCUUCCCGUGCGAGUGGCCGGGCCGGGGUCCGCGGGGGUGCGCGCCGGCCCUCCGGCAUCCCUCCCUCCCCCCGGUGCCUCGCGGUUCCAGCGCCGCUGGCGGGCCCCGUCCUCGCGGGUCGCUCCUCAGGCGCCCAACGGCCUCUAACGGCCGCGGCGCGCGCCCCAACGGCCGGCCGCGAGGCGGUACGGACUCGCCAGGGGGCGCCAAAGCGCUGCGGCCGCCGCAGGAUAAACCGCCUCUGCUCUGUGCUAGGUUUGUUAUUCCUUUGUCAAAUUGCUGCAACAGGAGAACUGAACUGAAGGCAUCAGACAUCCACCUCUUGGCCAUAAGCUGA